rnacentral:rRNA from 1 species
AGAGUUUGAUCCUGGCUCAGAGUGAACGUUGGCGGCGUGGAUUAGGCAUGCGAGUCGAGCGAGAACCGUAGCAAUACGGGGACAGCGGCGAAAGGGACAGUAAUAUGUAGGUACCUACCCCGAGGUCUGGGAUAGCUGCGGGAAACUGCAGGUAAUACCGGAUAAUGUCCUCGGACCAAAGGUGUGAUUCCACCUCGGGAGGGGCCUGCAUCCUAUUAGCUAGUUGGCGGGGUAACGGCCCACCAAGGCGACGAUGGGUAGCGGGUGUGAGAGCACGACCCGCGUCAUUGGGACUGAGACACUGCCCAGACACCUACGGGUGGCUGCAGUCGAGAAUCUUCGGCAAUGGGGGAAACCCUGACCGAGCGACGCCGCGUGCGGGAUGAAGGCCCUCGGGUUGUAAACCGCUGUCGUAGAGGAGGAAAUGCAGGGGGGUUCUCCCCUUUGCUUGACCUAUUCUAGGAGGAAGUACGGGCUAAGUUCGUGCCAGCAGCCGCGGUAAGACGAACCGUACAAACGUUACUCGGAAUUACUGGGCUUAAAGGGUGCGUAGGCUGCGCGGAAAGUUGGGUGUGAAAGCCCUCGGCUCAACCGAGGAAUUUCACUCAAAACUGCCGUGCUCGAGGGAGACAGAGGUAAGCGGAACUCAAGGUGGAGCGGUGAAAUGCGUUGAUAUCUUGAGGAACACCGGUGGCGAAAGCGGCUUACUGGGUCUCUUCUGACGCUGAGGCACGAAAGCUAAGGUAGCAAACGGGAUUAGAUACCCUGGUAGUCC